UACGUAGGGGCAAGCGUUGUCCGGAAUCAUUGGCGUAAAGCGCGCGGUAGGCGGCCGGUAAGUCCGCUGUAAAAGUCCAGGCUCAACCCUGGAAAGCCGGUGGAUACUGUCGGGCUAGAGUCCGGAAGAGGCGAGUGGAAUUCCCAGUGUAGCGGUGAAAUGCGCAGAGUAUUGGGAGGAACACCAGUGGCGAAAGGCGGCUUUCUGGACCUGUUCUUGACGCUGACGGCG
rnacentral:rRNA from 1 species